UCAAUUGUAGUAUAAUUUUAUAGUACUCUUUGUUUCGAACUAAGAAGACCAAAAGGCAAGAC
rnacentral:tRNA from 1 species